rnacentral:rRNA from 1 species
GACGUAGGUGGCGAACGUUAUCCGGAAUUAUUGGGCGUAAAGGGUGCGUAGAUGGCCUGAUAAGUUAGCAGUGGGAAAUCGAGGCUCAACCUCGUGGAAGCUGGUAAUACUGUCAGGCUCGAGUGCAGGAGAGGUUAACGGAACUCCAUGUGGAGCGGUAAAAUGUGUAGAUAUAUGGAAGAACACCAAUAACGGCGAAAGGCAGUUAACUAUUCUGUUACUGACAUUUGAGG